rnacentral:rRNA from 1 species
AAUAAGAGGUCCCGCCUGCCCUGUGACUAUGGGUUUAACGGCCGCGGUAUUUUGACCGUGCGAAGGUAGCGCAAUCACUUGUCUUUUAAAUGGAGACCUGUAUGAAUGGCAUCACGAGGGCUUAACUGUCUCCUUUUCCAAGUCAAUGAAAUUGAUCUUCCCGUGCAGAAGCGGGAAUAAAUUCAUAAGACGAGAAGACCCUAUGGAGCUUUAGACACCAAAGCAGCUCAUGUUCAGAACCCUGGGACAACAGGCAAAACUUAUUGACGCCUGCCCUACUGUCUUCGGUUGGGGCGACCAUGGGGAAAUAAAAAACCCCCACGUGGAAUGGAAGAAUUCUUCCCUACUGCCUUCUGGAACUGAGAGCUCCCGUUCUAGGUGACAAUACAUUUGACCUCUAAGACCCGGCAUAAGCCGAUCAACGGACCAAGUUACCCUAGGGAUAACAGCGCAAUCCUCUUCAAGAGGCCCUAUCGCCAAGAGGGUUUACGACCUCGAUGUUGGAUCAGGACAUCCUAAUGGUGCAGCCGCUAUUAAGGGUUCGUUUGUUCAACGAUUAAAGUCCU